ensembl:lncRNA
GCUACAGGGACUGCAACAUUCUAACAGCGUAAUAAAAACCACUGAUACAUAUACGGGGGUGAGAAGCAGACAUGAAAUAUCCCUUUGAGAAAGUUCGAAAGGAAACCAUUCAGGGAUUUCACCAUGAGGCCAAUGGUGACUUUAAAACAGAGUUUAAUGGCUGUGAUAGGAGAAAACUGAGACUGGAUCAACAACAAGCAACAUGUCCUCAUCUGGGAUCCGUAACUCACAAGCUCUUGGUUCACGGUACGCCGAUCUUCCUGCUACGCCACCGUGUCCGUGUCAGGAAAACCCUUACAGAAUCACCCACCACAACAGGACCAAGCGGCGUGGUAACCGGCAACAGCAACACCGGCGCAAAGAGGAAUGGACAUGGGACGAUGUAUUGGACGGCAAGGGUUGCUACACCUGGGAGGAGAUCCUGGCGGAAAAGGAUCGCCUUCCAUGGGAACAGGUAGAGGCAGCUAGGAGAGCAGAGGCAGCCGGAGAGAGGAGCCGGCGAUAUGAGG